rnacentral:rRNA from 1 species
UACGUAGGGGCUAGCGUUAUCCGGAAUUAUUGGGCGUAAAGAGCUUGUAGGCGGUUUGUCGCGUCUGCUGUGAAAAUCCGGGGCUCAACCCCGGACUUGCAGUGGGUACGGGCAGACUAGAGUGUGGUAGGGGAGACUGGAAUUCCUGGUGUAGCGGUGAAAUGCAUAGAUAUCACACAGAACACCGAUAGCGAAGGCAGGUUGCUAAUUCUCAACUGACGCUGAGGGACGAAAGCGUGGGGAGCAAACAGGAUUAGAUACCCCGGUAGU